CAGCAGCCGCGGUAAUACAGAGGGUGCGAGCGUUAAUCGGAUUUACUGGGCGUAAAGCGUGCGUAGGCGGCUUCUUAAGUCAGAUGUGAAAUCCCUGAGCUUAACUUAGGAAUUGCAUUCGAUACUGGGAAGCUAGAGUAUGGGAGAGGAUGGUAGAAUUCCAGGUGUAGCGGUGAAAUGCGUAGAGAUCUGGAGGAAUACCGAUGGCGAAGGCAGCCAUCUGGCCUAAUACUGACGCUGAGGUACGAAAGCAUGGGGAGCAAACAGGAUUAGAUACCCCCGUAGUCCCUGUCUCUUAUAC
rnacentral:rRNA from 1 species